GCAUAUCAAUAAGCGGAGGAAAAGAAACCAACAGGGAUUGCCCCAGUAACGGCGAGUGAAGCGGCAACAGCUCAGAUUUGGAAUCUGGUCCCCAGGGCCCGAGUUGUAAUCUGGAGAGGAUGCUUCUGGCGCGGCGCCUUCCGAGUUCCCUGGAACGGGACGCCGGAGAGGGUGAGAGCCCCGUACGGUUGGACGCCUAGCCUUUGUGAAGCUCCUUCGACGAGUCGAGUAGUUUGGGAAUGCUGCUCAAAAUGGGAGGUAAAUUUCUUCUAAAGCUAAAUACCGGCCAGAGACCGAUAGCGCACAAGUAGAGUGAUCGAAAGAUGAAAAGCACUUUGAAAAGAGGGUCAAACAGUACGUGAAAUUGUUGAAAGGGAAGCGCCCGUGGCCAGACUUGUGCCCCGCGGACCACCCGGCGCCCUCAGCGCCGGUGCACUCCGCGGGGCGCAGGCCAGCAUCGGUUUUCCCAGGGGGAUAAAGGCGGCGGGAACGUGGCUCCCUCGGGAGUGUUAUAGCCCGCCGCGCCAUGCCCCUGGGGGGACCGAGGACCGCGCUUCGGCAAGGAUGCUGGCGUAAUGGCCACCGGCGACCCGUCUUGAAACACGGACCAAGGAGUCAAGCAUUGGGGCGAGUGUCUGGGUGCCAAACCCGCACGCGAAAUGAAAGUGAACGCAGGUGAGAGCUUCGGCGCAUCAUCGACCGAUCCUGAUGUUCUCGGAUGGAUUUGAGUAAGAGCCUUACCGCUUGGACCCGAAAGAUGGUGAACUAUGCCUGUAUAGGGUGAAGCCAGAGGAAACUCUGGUGGAGGCUCGCAGCGGUUCUGACGUGCAAAUCGAUCGUCAAAUAUGGGCAUGGGGGCGAAAGACUAAUCGAACCAUCUAGUAGCUGGUUACCGCCGAAGUU
rnacentral:rRNA from 1 species